UCCGUUGGUGAACCAGCGGAGGGAUCAUUACCGAGUUUACAACUCCCAAACCCCUGUGAACAUACCUUACUGUUGCCUCGGCGGAUCAGCCCGCUCCCGGUAAAACGGGACGGCCCGCCAGAGGACCCCUAAACUCUGUUUCUAUAUGUAACUUCUGAGUAAAACCAUAAAUAAAUCAAAACUUUCAACAACGGAUCUCUUGGUUCUGGCAUCGAUGAAGAACGCAGCAAAAUGCGAUAAGUAAUGUGAAUUGCAGAAUUCAGUGAAUCAUCGAAUCUUUGAACGCACAUUGCGCCCGCCAGUAUUCUGGCGGGCAUGCCUGUUCGAGCGUCAUUUCAACCCUCAAGCCCUCGGGUUUGGUGUUGGGGAUCGGCGAGCCUUUCUGGCAAGCCGGCCCCGAAAUCUAGUGGCGGUCUCGCUGCAGCCUCCAUUGCGUAGUAGUAAAACCCUCGCAACUGGAACGCGGCGCGGCCAAGCCGUUAAACCCCCAACUUCUGAAUGUUGACCUCGGAUCAGGUAGGAAUACCCGCUGAACUUAAGCAUAUCAAUAA
rnacentral:rRNA from 1 species